CUAUCACCCCUUAUCCCCUCCCUCUAGUCACGUUGUCUCCCCUCCCCUUCCUCCUGACACACCAACCCACCUCCCUCGACUUCGAUCUAGAUCGGGAAGCCCCGGCCGCCCGCCUCUUCCUCUCCCUCCCAACCACGGCGAGCCCCCUUCCCCUUCCCUCACACCAGAUCCAGGGCAUGGAGCCGUGGUGAGCUCCUUCCCCAACCCUCCUUCGGCGUGGGCGUUGCUCCGGGGUGUGGAGGCCGCCGAGCUGCAGGAGGAGGAGCUCCCCGCCACCCCAAGGCCCCAGAUCCAGACGCCACGUUCAUAGCCGGGCUUCCAGAUCCUCGUCAUUGUUGAGCUGGCCCAUGAUCGAUGAACGGCGGCGGAUCCGGCGGCAAGGCCAAGGUGCCGCAGGCGAUGGCGCCGGUGGAGGGUGGUUUCUUCUCCACGUCCACACGCCGGGAGAGGAAGCAGCCUCCGCGUUGUUCUGCACCAAGUUCGGCAACGGGGGACGCGCGGCCGUCCUCCUCCUCCUCUGCAUCCAUGGCGCUCAUCCCGGAAGGGGAGGUACCGCUGGAGCUCUAAGGCGGCCUUAAACACCACCGAUCUGGUCGGAGGUUGGGCAGAUAAGGCCCUGCGUCUCCUGCUCCUUCCCAUGUCAUCGUUGGAGGAGAGGAUAAUGGUGAAGCAGCAGAAGAUGAUGGUGCCCGACCAUGGCGAGCGAGGAAGCCCCAAGAUUGAUAGGUGGCUCCCUCCUGUUGUAUGGAUUUGGGGUGUAUUUCAAGCAGGUAAUAACCUACUCUGAUGCCGCUCUAAGAGAAAAGUGUGCCACCCCUAUCCUCAAGCAGUUCUAGCCCUCCUAUCUUUAAUUCCUGGCUGCUGGACUACCUGCGGGACAGCGAGUUCAUCUGCGGCAGCUAUCGCUGUGAGCAGUCCUUCUGCGAUGCGCUCCGCGGCGUCUUCGCCGGGCACAACGAGAUCCUUAACGUCUGGAAGUAAGUCGCCGGCCAUCUGUUUCCUGAUGAAUUUUCUUUCUAGCUCAGUGUGAUCGGAUCUGACUAGUACGUUCAGAUUUGCUUUUGUUUUAUUUUCAAAUAGUACUAGUAGUCUAUAUUCCAGCUAUGCGACUACCUGUAGCCACUUGAACCGAUGAGAAUUCUUCAAGCCUACCUAUAGCCACUUGAACAGAUGUCUAUCUCAGAUCUGCUCAUCUAAAAAAUCCAAGUGGAGCAGUAUACUGGUAGUAUAGUAUAAUAAUAUUAUCAAAAGGUAAAUGCCCUGAUUAUUUAGCUCUGUCAGAUAAAUACUCGUCGAAAGUGGGCUCCUAUCAAAAUUCAUUUCCAUUAUAAUCUUACUCAUACAAUAUUCACACCAUGUAAUUCUGGAAAUAUAUGCUCAUAUCUAGUUCUGCAUAAAAAAUGACAGUAUUGACAUGUUAUAAAUAGUUUGUGUUUGUCUUUCUGUUUAUUUUGUUACAUUUUUCAGGGAUAAAGUGAAGAAAAA